UACGAAGGGGGCUAGCGUUGUUCGGAAUUACUGGGCGUAAAGCGCGCGCAGGCGGCUGUCCAAGUCAGUGGUGAAAGCCCGGAGCUCAACUCCGGAACUGCCAUUGAAACUGUUUAGCUGGAGUAUGAGAGAGGUGAGUGGAAUUCCCAGUGUAGAGGUGAAAUUCGUAGAUAUUCGCAAGAACACCAGUGGCGAAGGCGGCUCACUGGCCCGAUACUGACGCUGAGGCACGAAAGCGUGGGGAGCAAACAGG
rnacentral:rRNA from 1 species